GAGCCAGUCUGGGAAGAGAGCCACAGGAGAGCGGUUCCAUCUACCUCCAGUUCACCUGCUCCACAUCGCUUCAGCUUGAGGUCAUCUUCGAGGUGCUUGAAGAGUAUGACUGGACCUCCUUCUCCAUUGUGACCACCCGUCACCAUGGCUACGAGGACUUCCUGGCCAUGGUGGAGGGUAUGACCGAUGGCUCUUUCAUUGGUUGGGAAAGGAAGAGUGUGGUGAUUCUUAAUGUAACGGACGACCCCGGUGGGGCACGGACGAAACGACUGCUCAAGGACAAUGAAGCCCAGGUCCGCCUUCUGUACUGCUCCCUGGAAGAGGCAGAGCUCAUUUUCCG
ensembl:lncRNA